rnacentral:lncRNA from 1 species
UCCAUUCAUGCAAUCUAUACCAUCUUUUCGAGAUCAAUCAUACUUAUCCUUCGACUCCUUGUCCAUCCUUUUAGGACGUCCUGAUGACAGUCUAUCUCUUCAAUCGAGGUUUAUUUGGCGCUUAUCCCAAACGCCAACUUCUCUUUUGUUUGGCGCUUAUCCCAAACACUAACUUCAUCCUUUGUUUGGCGCUUAUCCCAAACACUUUCAUCCUUGUUUGGCUCUCAACCCAAACACUAACUUCUCCUUUGUUUGGCGCUUAUCCCAAACACCUCCACCCUUGUUUGGCUCUCAUCCCAAACGCUAACUUCAUCCUUGCUCUUCGAUUG